AUAAGGAGAUGGUGGUGUGCUCUCCUACUUGAAGACUCAGCGACUCCUUCAGAACGGAAAAGGUGCCGCAAAGAUGUAGGCUCAGUUCAGUUCAAGGCAUGUCAAGGCAUUGUUGAAUGCUCGGAGUCUCCUUCAGAACGGAAAAACUGCCGAAAAGAUGUAGGCUCAGCGCAGUUGCAGGCACAUCAAUAUAAC